ACUGCUUCAAGAAGUGUGAUUCAAGUUAUUUAGUCUUAUUUUUUAAGUUUGGAUGUUAAUAAAAAAUGGAAAUUGUAGCGAUUACAAGUGCACUUAUUCUCGUGAAAAUAUUAAUAUGUUAUACAUUAUUACAAAAGUGUAAAACAGUCCAAAAAAUAAAAAAGGAAAUUGUAAAAAUUAGUGAAAAAAUGUGCAAAGAGACAGAAAAUUGUAUCCAGAAUACAUUAGAAAUGCAAAGCAACCAGAACAAUAAACAGAAUACAAAAUCUGUUGAAAUAACUGUAAAAAAAAGUCCACCAGAAAAACCACCUCGUGCAUUUAGGCCAUUGCAUGUAAAGCCUAUGGAAAAAUGUGAUAAUUCAAAGAAUAAUUCAGAGGAAACUAUUUUAAAAAAUAAUUUUAAAAUAUUUUCAAAUGACGAUUAUAUAAGGUUAUAUAACAACUUAAUAGUUACUUAAAAAUACAAAAUUGUGCAAAUUUUAUUGAUUGGAUUCAUUAUGCAUAAGUCAAAAGAUUAUAAUGGUGGACGUUAUUGCGAUCAAUGUCAUCGACUCUCGUGUGAAAAAGAAGCUGGAAUUCAAGAAAUAAUACAUUCUAAUGAUGUCUUAUAUACCAGCAAUGAAUUGCAGGAACAAAUACCGUCUUCUGAAAUCGAUAUUGAUUCUUCAAAAUCAAUCCCGCAGAUUCCAGAAUUGGCAAAAAUAUUGCAAUUAAGAUUCCUUGUGACAAAUUCUUCGGAAUCUAGAAAUUCACAAUUUUAUAGCGAUGAAAUAAUUAUUAAAAAUAAUGAAACUAAUUUUAUGGAAUUGCCAAAAAAUAUGUAUAAGGAAUUAGGAAAAAAUAUCCAUCCAUUAACAUCGACAAAAAUACAACCAAAAAAUACGUUCUUUUACAAAUUACGUAAGUAUUUUAUUGCAGCAUUUCGUCGAAUUAAAAAUAAAUGUCAAUGAUAAAAAUAGACACAAAUAUCCGUUGUUUGAAAUAAUUGCCCAAAAGUGUACUUAACGUUUAUAACACGCUAUAAAUAUCAAAAUUAAUUUAGUCAAGCGAACGAUUUCAUCAACGUUCUUUUGAAAAAAAAUUAUUUAUUUAUUUUUUUGUUAUUAUAUUUAAAAAUAUUA